rnacentral:tRNA from 1 species
GGAGAGGUGGCCGAGUGGUUGAAGGCGGCUGUCUUGAAAACAGCAGGGCGAUGAGCCCCGGGGGUUCGAAUCCCUCCCUCUCCG